UACGGGGGGGGCAAGCGUUGUUCGGAAUUACUGGGCGUAAAGGGCUCGUAGGCGGCCAACUAAGUCAGACGUGAAAUCCCAGGCUCAACCUGGGAACUGCGUCCGAUACUGGAAGGCUUGAAUCCGGGAGAGGGAUGCGGAAUUCCAGGUGUAGCGGUGAAAUGCGCAGAUAUCAGGAGGAACACCGGUGGCGAAGGCGGGUCUCUGGGCAACAACUGACGCUGAGGAGCGAAAGCGUGGGGAGCGAACAGG
rnacentral:rRNA from 1 species